rnacentral:rRNA from 1 species
AACGAACGCUGGCGGCGUGCCUAACACAUGCAAGUCGGGCGCGAAAAGGGCAACCUGAGUAGAGCGGCGCACGGGUGCGUAACACGUGGGCAAUCUGCCUUAGAGUCGAGGAUAACCUUCCGAAAGGUUGGCUAAUACUCGGUAAGCUUACGGUGUCUUCGGACGCUGUGGGAAAAGUAGGCCUCUGUUUACAAGCUUACGCUCUGAGAUGAGCCCGCGGACCAUCAGCUAGUUGGCGGUGUAACGGACCACCAAGGCAACGACGGGUAGCUGGUCGGAGAGGACGAUCAGCCACACUGGAACUGAGACACGGUCCAGACUCCUACGGGAGGCAGCAGUGGGGAAUUUUCCACAAUGGGCGAAAGCCUGAUGGAGCAACGCAGCGUGUGUGAUGAAGGUUUUCGGAUCGUAAAGCACUUUCGACCGGGACGAAAAACCUCUGGCUAACAUCCAGGGGCCUGACGGUACUGGGAGAAGAAGCACCGGCUAACUCUGUGCCAGCCGCCGCCGUAA